GAGAGUUAAACAGUACGUGAAAUUGUUGAAAUGGAAACGAUUGAAGUCAGUCAUACCAACGGGAAAUCAACCUCUUGAGUUUGGUCUCGUGGGUUUCGAAGAGUUUAAAAGCCUUCGGAUUUUCGAGAUUGGGCUCUUCUGGUGUACUUUCUCGUACGGUUAGUCAACAUCGGUUUUGAAUGUCAUAAAAUGACUGGAGGAAUGUGGCUUCGAUCUCGUAUUGAAGUGUUAUAGCCUUUGGUAGAUGUGAUGUUCGAGACCGAGGAUUGCAACGGAUACCCUUCUGGGCUAUUCGUCUGAUCUCUGAAACGUUGCCUUGAUGUCGAAAGCUUGCUUAUGAUGUUAAGGGUAUUACGGUCAAAAGGUUAGAACGGAUUAAAUUCGUUAAGGAUGUUGACGUAAUGACUUUAAACGA
rnacentral:rRNA from 1 species